rnacentral:rRNA from 1 species
UACGUAGGGUGCGAGCGUUGUCCGGAAUUAUUGGGCGUAAAGGGCUCGUAGGCGGUCUGUUGCGUCGGGAGUGAAAACUCGGGCUUGACCCCGACGCCUGCUUCUGAUACGGGCAGACUAGAGGUAUGCAGGGGAGAACGGAAUUCCUGGUGUAGCGGUGAAAUGCGCAGAUAUCAGGAGGAACACCGAUGGCGAAGGCAGGUCUCUGGGCCGAUACUGACGCUGAGGAGCGAAAGCGUGGGGAGCGAACAGG